ACGGGAGGCAGCAGUGGGGAAUAUUGGGCAAUGGGCGAAAGCCUGACCCAGCAACGCCGCGUGAAGGAUGAAGGUCUUCGGAUUGUAAACUUCUUUUAUGAGGGACGAAGAAAGUGACGGUACCUCAUGAAUAAGCCACGGCUAACUACGUGCCAGCAGCCGCGGUAAUACGUAGGUGGCGAGCGUUAUCCGGAUUUACUGGGUGUAAAGGGCGCGUAGGCGGGGAUGCAAGUCAGAUGUGAAAUCUAUGGGCUCAACCCAUAAACUGCAUUUGAAACUGUAUCUCUUGAGUGCUGGAGAGGUAGACGGAAUUCCUAGUGUAGCGGUGAAAUGCGUAGAUAUUAGGAAGAACACCGGUGGCGAAGGCGGUCUACCGGACAGUAACUGACGCUGAGGCGCGAAAGCGUGGGGAGCAAACAGGAUUAGAUACCCUGGUA
rnacentral:rRNA from 1 species